GCUCUGCUCCAUGCCAGCUCUCACCCACCAGCAGCUUAACCAGGCCUAUUCACAUGACGUCUUGGCGGGGUUCCGAGGGAGCCAGAGGAAGUGUAUAGACCCCUUGAGGCGUAAACUUGGAACUAGGAAACCAUCACUUGCACCUCAUUCUGUUGACCAGAGCUAGGUAAUCAUAAGGCCAACCAAUACUGAAGGAAUGGGGAAAUAGACUCCAACUUUCACUCUAGUUGGGAUGCAAAACUUAUAUAUAAAAGAUACAAUUAGAAAAUUAUCCCAUAUUGAAUCAGGAGCCAGAUUGUAUCUUUAAUUGCAAAAAGAGCUAUGAAGUGGAGGGGCCUUUGCAGUUAUAGGCCUGAGUAGUUAUAAAAUAUUUUAUAGAAAAAGUAGAAAGUUAAAUUGAAAGAAAGUUAGACAUUGAUGAGAAAAGAAGAUAUUUCAAGCAUAGAAAAUAGCAGAUUUAAAUUUUGUUUAAAAACGUGGGAGUGUGUCUGUGUUGGUUUUAGAAGGAUCUAGACUAUCGUUUCUCUUUUUUUUUUGGCCAUCGUUUCUCCUUUAAGUUCCAGGCUAGUACCAGUACUAUCAGAUAGAUUCUGACUCAUGGUGACCCCAUGUGUGUCAGAGUAGAACUGUGCUCUGUAGGGUUUUCAGUGGCUGAUUUUUCAGAAGGUAAAUCACCAGGCCUUUCUCCCAAGGUGCCUUUGGGUGGGCUCAAACCUUCAGCCUUUUUAUUAGCAGCUGAGUGCGUUAACCGUUUGCAGCACCUAGGGGCUCCCAGUUUUAGGCUAAUUUCUUUAAAUCCCCAUUUCUUAAUUUCUUUUCUUUCUUCCUUGUUUUUGCUGUUCGGCUUCCUUGUGGGCCUCUUUUUAUGUUCCAUUCUUCUUUUCAUCUAAUGCUACUUAGUGAGGGCUACCCUGAAACAUUUCACAUUUCUGUUAUUCACAAUCAUUUUAAAGGCAUCUUAACUUCCCUAGAUAAUUUUUUACAUUAUUUAUUACAAACAGCUGCAUGUUUAAUUAAUAGGAAGAGGUUUGUGGAUGUUCUUUUCUUUAGUAACCUCUCUCAUUAUUUUCUGUUCCUUGGCCCCAAUUGUUACUUACUUCUAAUAUUUGUAAGCUUUUGUAAAGCUGAAUGAACUAGGUUGUGACAUUGCAUCAGGUCUCCUGAAUGGAGCUUGUUGGCAACAACUCUUAUGCAGCAAAGCCAUCCCAAGAUAUCUAGGGCUUUUUUUAGAUAGAGCUAGUGACAUUCCCUCUAGGCUAGUUAUUCCCCAAUUUCUAAACCUACAGUCUAAAGUAAACACAGUGCAUUGCCAUUGCAGACAUUUAACAUGCCUUAAAAACAACUUUAGAACCUAAAAGAAAUAAGUGUAUAUUUGUUUUCAGGUAUUGAACAGAUUCUGAUGCUAUUCCUAUUGGAGGUAUAGUGAUAAAAUCAGUACCUUCAGUUAGUCAAUACCAGGUGGGGAAAUCUGAGAACAGCUCAAGAAGCUAACUGCGUGCAGAACCACCCGUCCUGUUUCCCAUCCUAUCUUAAUCCUAUUCAAUCAAAUUUUGGUUUUGACUUAAAUCUCUUGCCCUUCUCUUUGCCCUGUCCUAAAUCUAAUGAAGUUUACUGUAUAAGAGGAACAUUCCCUCUUUCCUUGACUGCUAUUGGUUCAUAUGGAAAAAUCUUAACUUUGAUAAUCACUUGUAUUUUAACUUCCAUAGAAAGCCCGUUCAUAUCAAAAUCUGAUUUUGUCUGAUACAGCACAUGUCAAAAUGAUAUAUAGCCCCUAGGAUUUCUUUUAUAAUGUUUCACCCUAACCUACUCCCUAACUAGGAGAUAGGAGGUAGAGGUGGAUGGGGCAGGUCUACAUCUUGACAGGCCUGAGGUGUCAGUGUUCUGUUUUUCAUCCACAACGGACAGUCUAUAUUUGACAGGAAGAGGGCUAGCUCCCACGUAUACUUUUUCAUAGUAGCCCUUAACCUGCUGAAAGGUAACUUGAGUUUCUUUUGGGUGGCCAGUAGUUUUUCCUAAUAUUAACUGACCAGUUGCCAAGGAGUCAUGAUGGAGAAAAAAGAGAUGUGUGGGAACAGAUAUUUGGGGAAAGUUUUUAUGAGAGAGAUAUUCUUGGUGGAGGAAAAUAGACAGUUGUAUGCUAGUAGUAAAGUAUAUGGACCAGUGAUAUUGUCAGUAGGAAGCAGAGUAGCUCAAAUACUCAAGUACUCAUUUGAAAUAUUCUGUUUGACCUUUAGAUUAUGUAUGAUCUUGGAAAGUACAACUGAGAAUUACGUGCACCAGAGUCAGAAAUCAAAUAGCUUGAUAACUUAUGGAAUUGAAAGAUGUCUUCAUUAUGACUAAUGUGAAUGGUGAGGGAUGGAAGCCAUAAGGCACAUUAUCUUAGAAAAGAUAAUCUGCACCCCAAUAUAGUAAAGUAGAUAUGUGGGGAGGCCAGAUCAGAAAUGAAAUCCAGAAUUAUCAUAUCCCAAAAGCAUGUAGGAUGUAGUACUAUAUCAGACCAUCUGCAUAGAUCUCUUUUUUGAUACAGAGCCACUAACAGUAUCUGCAGACCAUAUUCCAAUGUCUUAUCACAGGCAUAGCUAGCACUUGGAUAAGACCUACCUAAGCAGGAAUUUAAGGAGCGCUGGUGGUACAAUGGUUAAGCGCUUAGUUGCCAACCAGCUUUUCUCCUUGGGAGAAAAGACCUGGUGAUCUGCUCCCAUAAAGAUUAAAGCCCAGGAAACCCUUUGGGGCAGUUCUGCUCUGUCAUAUAGGUACUAUGAGUCAGAAUCAACUCAAUGGCACACAACAAGAAGCAGGAAUUGUUCAUUCAUUUAUUCAGCACUAUGCCUAGCACUGUUAUAGUGCUGUGAAUACAGCAUGGUCCCUGCCUUCAUGGAGCUUACAUUCUUUUGUAGUUGCCAUGCUUGUAAACCAGGUCUUUUUGACAUUCUGCUCUUCAAAAAUUCUCUCUUCAGGUAGUCCUGGUAUUUUGAGGAAUGUCAGUUUAGCUAGAUUUUAAUUUUUUUAAUUGAUGCUGAAUGGGUCAGUUUCAGGGAAGCUGCAGAGUUUUCUGGCAAGAUUUCCCAGGGCAAGUACCUUGGGAAAUCUGUGUACUGAUACACAGGCUUUGAGGAAAGACUUUUUGCUGUGGUUGGGCAGCCUAGCAUAAAUAAGAUGACCAACUUGAAAUGCUUCAAAAGGUAGCCCUUUAGCUUUUGGAAGCAGAGUUUUCUGGUGCCCAGGUUGUUUUGCCAGAUUGUCACUGGAUACCUGGAACCUUCAGGGUGACAGCUCCAGCCUCAAAAGAGGCCCUGACAGUAAAUAGUUCCUAUUCCCAAGCAGGAAAGAGCUAAUAUCUGGGCCUAGUUCUGUAAAAAAAAAAAAUAAAUAAAGAUAGGAACAUUUCUGAGAAAAGACCUCGUUGAGCUACAGUCUUUGGCCUCAACCAUAUAAGCCAAGGCUGGGUGAGCAUACACAAGGUUGGAACAAAGGCGAGUAAGGUCUGCAGCUACUGGGAUACUGCAGCAGCCUCUGAAAACCAGUUAUAUCUCCUUGCCUUGCCUGGGAUAUUAGUAACUAGAACCAUCAGGGAAAAUUUAUGAAGAGAAUUGUCAGUUAUAUAUAACAAAUUCUGGGAUUUGCUGAAUGUCCUUGGUUGAUUGGAGGAGAGUCUCCUCUAGAAGUGUUGAUACUUGGUCUUACAUUAUACCAGCCUCUUAAGUGAGGAGGAAAUGAGCUCUGAAAUCCUGCCUCAGGACCUUUUCUGAUUUAACACAGAAUCCAAUUUUUUCCAGACCAUAUUCUCAUGAAAUAACAUACAAGGAAAGCACAACUCUUUCGUACACAAAAUCAUGUAAGAUGUCUUUUAAGUGCUAGGAAAAUGUCCAGAUAUUUAAUAGGCCAACUAGCAUCAUAGCAUGUUUGAAGACCAUUUUCUGUUCGUUACCCUCCCACUAUGGAUAUAAUGGUAGCACCUCAGAGGUCUAAUUUCUUGAAGCCCUCAUGGAGUUGUCGCAGGAGGUUAGGAGUCAGAGGGGCAGGAGUAAUAGUAGUAGAUGAUAACCACAUAGAAACCAUGGUAGCCUUAUAAGAAUUGGAGUCCUCAUUGAUUUUUUAAAUGGAGAAUUUUGGGAUUCUUGAAGGGAAGGUGGGAGUUCUGGUGAAUGUCACUGUAUAUUUUUCAGGGGCUUUGGUUGUCCUGAGAGAGGAAGCACACCCACUUAGCAGGAAUGUAGGGCCCAGACACUUGGUUCUUUGUACAGUAGUGUUUGGUACAGAGGUAGCCCCUGAACCUCAUUAAGUGCCCUUCCCUUUAGGCAAUUUGUGUGUCUUGAAAUGCUGACUCGUGAAUAAUAGGCAUUUGGGCCCUGUCAGGGUCCUUAAACUAUAUAGAUUAAAGAUAUGUGAAGACAAGCAGUGGGUGAAGGUCCCACAGUUAGGAGAAGUCCUUUAGAGUAGCAGGAGACAAAACAAGAGAUUUUUGACAUAUUUUCUCAUGAACAACUCAAUGGGUUUGGCCUUCUGACUCAUGGGCUCGCCUCACUAACAUUAUACAUUGUCACCUGUCAACCCAUAUUGGUAGAAUCUUUUGAUAGAUGAGGAGUCUAACCUAAAGUUUGGCUGACAGAUUUGUCCAAAACUUCCUACUUUAACCUGGAAGCAGGGCCCUGCCAAUUAGAGAUUCCACCAAAGUGUAGAACAUGCUUUCCAGGAGGCAUUAGAAAGACCUUUUUUCAGAAGUAUAAGUUUAGACUGUGACAGUCCUUCCACUCCUUUGCUUCAGUAGGAUAACUGUAACUUUUAAUCUGGGCAUGGUGCCAGCAUGACUCUAGAUAGCCUUAUAGCAAGGUCUGUCAGUUCAGAGACUAGGGCCCCAUUCAGUUUCAGUUCUUGAGUGAAGAGCUCACACGCAUAGCAUAGUAAGCCACCUGGCAAUUUCUACCUUAGCUCAUAGACAGCAUUGGUUAUGAUCUUGUAUCAUAAAAGACAUAGAUGAUCUGUGAGGUAACAUGCUACCUGGACUAACCUGAGGCCCUACACCACUCUCUGCUUCUCCCAACAAGCCAAGCCUCUGAAACUAUGGUUUCUCCCUUACCUCUAACACACAGCAUAAAUAUACAUGCCCACAACUGGAACUUAAUUUGUGAGACAGUCACAUCUUCAGGAGAAAGGACAGGAAAGUCAUCACCAGUGAAUUUCCCUGGGAGUAGCAGUGGUAUCAAGGUUGUUGUUGUAGUGCUUGGUGAAUGAAAGCCUACUAGGUUCUGGACACUAGUCUCAGCUCCAUUAACUGUACUGCCUAGCAUCCUGCUAGAGGACACUGAUAGGCCAAGGGAAGGGCGCGGAAUCAGGCCUUAGAACUAAUUUGUAAAUAUUGCAUCCUACUGAUCGUCGCUGGAGGGCAGCAGAGAGUGAAAUCAAAGGGUCAGACUUAGGGAAUUGGACAUAUUCCAGUUUGCCAAGAAAGAAGCCCCCUUAGGCAUAAGAGUAUUUCCUGGGAGCCACAGUUAUAGGCAUAAAAAAAUAAUAGAUCCUAGUAAAUAAGAAACAAAAAGAUCAUCCAGAGGAGGGUUUGAAGGUUAAAACCCUCCUCCUAGGCAAGGAAUGGGCAAAGGAAUGAAGUAGGACUGGCUGGGAAAGGGGAAUAGGACAGCAUCAAUGAAGGCAGAGAACCAAGAGGACGGUCCAAAGUCUCAAGUCUCAAAGGAGCAAGCAAAGGUGGAAAAGGAACUGAAAUGGAAGAAAGAUCCAAAGUGAGGGGCAAGCCAGAGUGAGUGAGCUGAGUCGGUAAAGGUACAGUCAGGAAAGGUUGAUUCUCUGAGGCAGCGGCGGUAGCCAGGAAGGAGCCUUUUGUAGAGUGCAUGUCAGCAGGAAGGGAGCUGCAAAGGGAGCGAUUUCAGACACAAACAAACAGCCAUGUCUGUGGGAUUCUCACCUCCUAAAGUAGCUCCUCCUUGACUAGCCAGAAUCAUUUCAUCUUGCUUGAUUUCAAGAGCAAAGUAACUUUUAGAGAACGUAGAGAAAAUGAGAGAGGGGGAAGAGGAUAUGCUGUGGCAUUCUAAGAUGUGACUACACCCAAAACCCAAACUCAUUGCCAUGGAGUGGAUUCCAGCUCAUAGCAACCCUAUAGGACAGAGUAGAGCUGCUCCAUAGGGCUGGUAGAUUCAAACUGCCAGCCUUUUGGUUAGCAACCAAACACUUAACCACUACGCCACCAGAGCUCCAGAUGUGACUAAGGAAUUUUUAUAUAUGCAAUGAAGUUGAAUUGGACAUGAAGCCCUUCUGGAUAGCAUUGGUAUGAAAGCACAGCUUAGGAUAGCUUCUGAUGUUCCCUUUCCGUAUUUUAUGUAGUACUUGUUAAGAAUAUUUAGUGAAAAAGAAAAACUGGCUAUUGUGACUAGUUACAGGCAAGAUACCAAUCAAUCCAAGGACUCAGGAUCUGAUCCCAGUAGGUUAGCAGAGAGUUGUGUUUGGAGUCAUUUCCAAAUAAUUGCUGAGUGCUCGGCAGCUUUCCAAAUCCCCAGAUACGGAGAAAGAGAAGUCUUGCCUGGCCUGUUUAAACUUUUAGCGUCUCUCCUCAUUUCCUCAACUUCUCAAGCAUCAGAAAAAUGAGGCUCCUGUAAGCACAAGUUCCUGGAGCCCUAUACUGGGUGGCAGGAUAGCAUAGUAUUUAAGACGUUUGGAGUUACGAAGUUUGGGCAGACCUGGGCUACUAGCUGAGACAAUUAACAAAUUAUUUGACCUUUUUUAAGGUGUAAUUUCUCAGCUAUAAAAUGAAGAUUUUAUAAUAACCUGUAAGUGUUGCUGUAAGUGCUGAGUAAGACAAUGUAAUCAUGAUGCUUGAUAUUUGGUAAACAUAAAAAAAGAUAGUAGCUCCUAUAAUUAUUACCACUACUAUUAUACUGAGGAGACCUACUUGAGAACUCUACAUGCAUGGGAUCAGCACCCAAGUAAAAGUCAGGAGACCUGGAAUGAUUUCUUAACUCUUGCUGAUUUGUUACAUGAUAGGGUAUGUGUGCCUUUGGGUAUUGGCUCAUAAUGGGGUUCAUCCUGUCUCUCAGGAGAAGGAAUUGAGAAUGAUAACCAUUAAAUGACCUGGCUUCUUCGUUGAUAUAUUGCACAUGUUGUUGUUGUUAGUCACUGUCUCAGUUAUCUAGUGCUGCUAUAACAGAAAUGCCACAAGUGGAUGGCUUCAACAAACAGAAAUUUAUUCUCUCACAGUCUAGUAGAGUAGAAGUCCAAACUCAGGGCACUGGCUCCAGGGGAAGGCUUACUCUCUCUCCGUUGGCUCUGGAGGAAGGUCCUUCUUAUCAAUCUUCCCAUAGUCUAGGAGUUUCUCCAUGCAGGAACCCCAGGUCCAAAGGACAUGCUGUGCUCCUAGUACUGCAUUCUUGGUGGUAUGAGGUCUCCCUUGUCUCUGUGCUUGCCUCUCUCUUUUAUGUCUCGAAAGAGAUUGAUUUAAGACACAACCUAAUCUUGUAGAUUGAGUCCUGACUCAUUAACAUAACUGCCGCCAAUCCCACCUCAUUAACAUCAUAGAGAUAGGAUUUACAACACAUAGGAAAAUCACAUUAGAUGACAAAAUGGUAGACCAUCACACAAUACUGGGAAAGAUGGACUAGCCAAGUUGACACACAUUUUGGGGGGGAUAUAAUUCAAUCCAUAACAGUGGCCCUCAAGUCGAUUCUGACUCAUGAUGACCCCAUGUAUUUCAGAGUAGAACUGUUCCAGAGGGGAAAAAGGAAAACAAGAAAAAACCUGUUCCAUAGGGUUUUUAAGGCAGUGACCUUUUGGAAGCAGAUCACCAGGCCUUACCUCCAAGGCACCACUGGUGGAUUUAAACCUCUAACCUUUCUGUUAGUAGUCCAGUGCUUAACCGUUUGUAUCACACAGGACUCCUAUAUUGUGCAUAAAACAAAAAAAAAAACAAAAAACAAACCCACUGCCAUCCAGUUGAUUCCAACUCAUAGCCAUUCUGUAGGACAGAGGAGAACUGCCCCAUACGGUUUCCAAGGCUGUAAAUCUUUACAGAAGCAGACUACCACAUCUUUAUCCUGCAGAGCAGCUGGUGGGUUCAAACCGUUGACCUUUUGGCUAGCAGCCUAGUGCUUAACCAUUGCACCAUCAGGGCUCUUUAUAUUGUAUAUAUAUAAAAAAAAAAAAAUUGUAUAUAAAAAGUGGUUAAAAAAGAAAAUAAUUUAUCUGCUAAUUUUUCAUGUUUAACCAAAUUAGAAGUAGUUUGCUUUUCUUUUCUCAUAAGAUGUAUUUAUUUACAUACACAUUAUAGUGUAUUAAAAACAAUUUUUAAAGAUGAAAAAUAAAGUCUUACUAAAUCUGUUAUCUUAAUACAAUCGUUUUUACUUUGAUGGGGCCUUUUCUGGUCUUUUUCUAUAUGCAUAUUUGUAGUACCUGUAUGUAUAAUUUUAUAUUCAACUUUUCUUAAACACUUUUUGGAGUCACUAAGUAGUGCAAACAGUUAAGCACUCCGCUACUAGUCUAUAGGUUUGAACCCACCCAGAUGCACUUCAGCAGACAGGCCUGACGAUCUGCUUCUGAAAGGUCUCAGCCUUGAAAACUCUACAGAGCAGUUCUACUCUGAAAUGCAUAGGGUCACCAUGAGUCAGAAUUGACUCAAUAGCAGCUAACAACAACAGUGAACAUUUUUUAGGCUGUUACAUUUUAGAUAAUUUUUGUUCAGGUAUAAUUUAUGUACAAUAAAAUGUACCUACUUUAAAUAUUGCAGUUCCAUGAAUUUUGACAAAUAUAUUCACCUAUGUAACCACCACCACCAAGAAUAUGUGUAUCAUCCAAAGAAGCCCCCUUGUGCUUCUUUGUAGUCAGCCCCUUCCCCCCAUUCCCAAGCAACCCUUGACCUGCUCUCUGUCACUUUCAUUUGUAUUUUCUAGAAUUUUCUAUAAAUGGGAUCAUGCAGUUCUUUUGUGUCUGGCUUCCUCCAUUCAGCAUAAUGUUUUUGAGAUUUAUCCAUGAUGUUGCUUAUGUCAAUAAUUCAUUUCUUCUUAUUGAUGACUUAUAUCAUUUGUUUAUCCAUUCUCUUGUUGAUAUUUAUGAACAUUUGGUUGUUUUCAGUUUCUGACUGCUAUAAAUACAGCUGUUACGAACAUUCAUGCACAAGUAUUUAUGUGGACAUAUGUUUUUAUUUUUCUUGGAUAAUACUAGGAAUGGAAUUGUUGGAUACAAGGUAAGUGUAUGUUUAACUGUAUUUUAAAAAAUGUCAAAACUGUUUUCCAACGUACCCAGACCUGUUGCCAUCAAGUUGAUUCCAACUCACAACGACCCUACAGGACGGAGUAGAACUGCGCCAUUGGGUUUCCAAGGAGCAGCUGGUGGAUUUGAAUUGCCGAUCUUUUGGUUAGCGGCCAGGCUCUUAACUACUGUGUCAUCAGGGCUCCAACAUAGUUGUACCAUUUUCCAUUCCCACCAGCAGUGUGUAUUUUCAGUUGUUCCACAUCUUCAUCAACACUUGGUGCUACAGUUAUUUGUUGAUUAUUGAGGUGUUAUUUACAUAGAGUAAAAUUCAUGCUCCUUAGGUAUUGUGGUUGUUGUUGUUAGUUGCCAUUGAGUCUGUCGCGACUUACGGUGACCCCAUGUGUGCAGAAUAGAAGUGUUCCAUAGGGUUUUCAAGGCUGUGUCCUUUUGAAAGCAGAUCAACAGGCCUGUCUUCCAUCUCUGGGUAGGCUCAAACUGCCCAUCUUUUGGCUAGUAGUCAAGUGUGUAAUCAUUUGUAUCACCCAGGGACUCCUUCUUAGGUGUACAGUCUUAUAAAUUUUUAUAAAUUACACUAUGGUGUAACCACCACUACAAUUAAGAUACCGCAUAUUUCCAUUAUCCAAAAAAUUUCUUUGUGCAUCAUUGCAAUCAAUCUCCUCCCCCUACUCCCAGCCCCUGGUAAUCACUGCUGUGAUCUCUGAUGCUAUAGUUCUGUCUUUUCCAGAAUGUCAUAUAAAUGAAAUCAUACUUUUAAUUUUGGCUUCUUUCACUUACCAUAAUGCUUUUUAGCUGCAUUCAUGUUGUUACAUAUAUUAGUAGCUCAUUCAUUUUUAUUGCAGAAUAGUAUUCUAAGGAUAUACCACAAUUUGUUUAUUCAUUUACCGUUUGAUGAACAUUUGGGUUGGAUAUCAUAAAUAAAAUCACAAUAAACAUUUGCAUAAAGAUUAUUUUACAGGUUAUUGUUUUGUUUUAAUUUGAUCCAUUCUAAUAGGCAUAUGGUAUCUCACUGUGGUUUUAAUUUGCAUUUUCCCUGAUGAGUAAUAAUGCUUAACAAUGUUUCAUGUACUUCUUUGCAUACGUAUCUCUUGUUUCAUGAAGUGUUUGUUCAAAUCUUUUGUCCAUUGUUAAAAAUAAUUAUUAUUGAGUUGUAAAAGUUUCUUUAUAUACUCUGUUCAGUAGUCUGUUGUCGGAUAUGUGUUCGACAAUUUUUUCUCCCAGCCUCUAGUUUGUCUUUUCAUUUUCUUAACAGAAAGAUUGAGAUUUUCAUUUUAAUGACUCUAAUGGGUUUGGUUUUGGUUUUUUAUCUUUUUUUUUUUUCUUCUUUCAUGGCUCAUGUCCUAUGUGUCGUGUCUAAGAAACCUUUGACUAACCCAAGGUCACAAAGAUUUUCUCCUGUUUUCUUCUAGGAGUUUUAGUGGUGUUAGAUUUUAUAUUUGAGUCUAUAAUGAUGGAUUUUGAGCAAAUUUUUCAAUACGAUGUGAGGUAUGGGUUGAGGUUCCUAUUUUUGCCUAGAAUGCCCAGUUGUACCAGCCACAUUUGUUGAAAAGGUUAUACUUUCUCCAUAGAUUGGCCUUGACACCUUUAUCAAAAAUCAAUUAACCAAAUAUAUGUAGGUCUAUUUCUGGACUCUAUACUGUCUUCCGUUGAGCUAUCUGUCCUAUCCUUCUGCUAUAUUUUGUUUACCUUGAGCAUUAUGCCCUUUUAAGAAUUAUCUAUAUGGGAUCAAACUGACAACAGCAACUCUAAAGAUUAGAUAGAAACCUUAUGAGGAAGUGAGUUUAUGUUAAUGGAGAAGGAAUAACUCAGAAAAGGAGGAUGAGAAUGGUUGCACAACUCGAAGAAAGUAAUCAGUGUCACCAAAUUGUACAGGUAGAAACAGUUGAAUUAGUGUAUGUUUUGCUGUGUACAUUCUCAACAACAAAAUUUUAAAAAUUUUUUAAAGAGUUGUAACAAAUUUUCUGGCUUUUAUAAUGUAUUGCUGGUUCCUAUUUAUAGCAAAGGGUUAUAGUUUUAUAGCAGCUCACCAACAUUGGGCCUUAUAAUUUUAAGUUUUUUGGUUAAUAGAUAGAUAUAAGAGUGUACCUUUAUUUUUUUACUCCACUUUUUUUUCCUACACAUAAAAAAUGGUGAGUGGUCUAUGGACAUCAGCAAGGAUAUGGAUUUACUAACGUCCAUGUUUUUAAUUCUUGCUGCCUUGUUCAGUGUGGAAAGUUUUUUGCAAUCUGAUCUGAUGCAUCUCUCAUUUAGCCUUAGUUUUUUUUUUUUAAGAAAGGCAGGACUAUUACUUAUAAAAAGUUAACUAUUAGUAAAAUACAGCAUAUGGUUGAUUAACUGCCAAGUGAAUAGCAUACAAUUAUUGUAUGAGUUUGAAAAAGAGGAAGGCCCUCAAUGAGAUGGAUUGACGCAGUGCCUGCAACAAUGGGCUCAAGCAUAACAAUGAUAGUGAGAAUGGCGCAGGAUGGGGCAGUGUUUCGUUUUGUUGUACUUAGGGUCACUAUGAGUCUCAACUGACUCGACGACGCCUAACAACAACAACAUUCUGUGAGUUUGGAGGAGGAAGAUACUGCUGUACCAUUAUAAGUGAUAAUUUUUGCUCUUUUUUGUUAUAGUUUUCACAGUGGUCAAUAGAAGCUGAUAUUGUUUGUUUUAUUUUGGUUUUCUAGUUUUUAUAGACAUGUUCUGUGACCAAAACAUUUGAGAAUUACUGUUUAUGGUGUCUCUGAAAACUGUAGUCAUUUGAGGAAAUUGUAUCGCAUGCUGAUAAUAGAAAUUGUCCAGACUACUGCUUGACGCCAGUGUAACUACAGAAAAGAGCAAAUGAGCCUGCUCUUGGCCAAAAAAGUUAAGGUAUAACUCCUCCAUUUGCCCAACUGUGCUUAAAAUUACGCUCUGGAGAAUUAGUCUGAAGAUUGACGUGUCCAUUAAGCCAAACAUCAAUCAGAGAGGGUGGCCUCCCAAGUGCUUCCCAGAGCUCUACUGCUAUGGACUUGAUCAAGGCAGGCAGCAGAUUCCCUGUAGCAAUGCUAUGGCCACCUCACAAACUACUACAGGUGUAGCCUCUAGUACUAAGUAACCUGGGACCACAAGAGGUUUAGAGUAACAAUAGGGAGGAAGUGGUUCUUAGAAGCUAUUGGUACAGCAAGAGUAUAUUUAAAAGAUCUAUCUUGGGCAGUAGUAAAUUGGGAACACCAUUGAAAAUGAAUGUGUGUUAUGAGGAAAGAUUGUUGUUGUUUGUUAGUUGCCAUUGACUCCAUUCCAACUCAUGGCGACUCCAUGCGUGCAGAGUAAAACUGCUCCGUAGGGUUCUCAAGGCUGUGACCUUUCCGAAGCAGAUCUCCAGGCCUGUCUUCUAAGGCACCUCCGGGUGGGUUUGAAGUGCCAACCCUUCAGCUAAUAGUCGAGAGCUUAACCAUUUUGCAUCACCCAGGGACUCUUGAGAUAAAAUAGAUGUAAUUAUUCUUUUCGGAGUAUACAGCUGCUUGUCAAUUGUCAAUACUAGCUGUGGGUGUGGGGGUGUGUGUGUGUGUUCAUACAUGCUUCCCUAUAUUCUGAAUCCAGGCAUGGUUAGAAUUCCAUAUUACGCUCUUACUUUUACCUUCCCAUAUGAUGGAGCCCUGGUGGUGCAAUGGUUAAGACCUACAGCUGCUAACCAAGGAGCUGUCAGUUCAAAUCCAUGAGCCGCUCCUUGGAAACCCUAUGGGGCAGUUCUACUCUCUCCUGUAGGGUCGCUAUAAGUCAGAAUUGACUCAACGGCAACGGUUUUUUUUUUUUUUUUUUAAUAACCUCUGAUUGAGAUACUGAAACGGGCGAAGAUGUUUUUCUAUGUGUUUUCUGAGAUACCUGGAGAAAACUACAUCUUUAUAUCUGUGUGGACAUCUUUCCUUUCACUGCCUCCUUGUUGAGAUGAUCAUGAAAGGAGACAGUUAAUUUCAUUGGUGAGAGGUAGUGAAAGGUGAUAGCUUGUGAAGACUGGGGUAGGUCAUGGACACGGACAUGCGCAUGGUUCUUUCUGUGAAAUAUGAAAUUCUUCUACAUAAAAUUUACUUCUUCCCUUGAUCUGUUUUAUGCCAUGCCUUCUAGUGAGGGUUUUUUAUUUCUUUUCUUCCAUUCUGCCACCUACUAUUUUUCAAAAAACACAAUUAUGCUCAUGGCAUAUGUCUACUUAAAAACUUUGAGGGCUCUCUGUUGCCCAAAGAAUAAAGGACAAACCCCUAGCAAAGGAAGUCUGAUUGCAGCUUGUUUUCCUAGUCUCAUCCUGUCACUAUUCCUCAGGUAACCUGUACCCAGGCCAUUUCUACCACCUCUCUGAUUCCAAAACUGGGUAAGCUUUAGGCUUCUCUGUCUUAUCACACAGCGCUUUCCCUUGGUAUAGUGACAAAAUCCUUCCCCUCCUUCACAGCUUGACUCAAAGUAUCAUCUCCUUUAUAAAUGCUUGCCAGCCUCCUCUGGCAGUUUUAAUUGUUCCUCUUUUGGUUCCCUGACAUUUGGUAAGUUCCUUCAUUAUGGUAUGUAUCAAAUUCUCCUUAAUUACUUGCCUUAAUUAUCUGCCAUUAGAUUCUGAGUUAUUGACCCUAUCAAGGGCCAAAACCAAACCAAACCCAUUGCCUUCAAGUCAAUUCCAACUCAUAGCAACCCUAUAGGACAGAGUAGAACUGCCCCAUAGGGUUUCCAGGGAGCAGAUGGUGGAUUUGAACUGCUGACCUUUUGGUUAGUAGCCGAGCUCUUAACCACUACACCACCAGGGCUCCUCAUCAAGGACGGAUACCUGUUUUAUUUAUCCUUGAAUUCCCCCUCCCCUAGUGCAUAACACAUUUGCUGUUAGAUAUGCUCUCAUAACUGCUUGCUGAAUGAAUUGACUUAAUAAUGUUUUGUGGCAUUUCAGAAGUAUGUGAAACUAGGUUGAAUUUCUGAAUAGUAUUUGUACUCAUCAUUUUCCUUCCACUCUAUGUUCCUCAUUUGCACUUUAAUCUUAUUAACUAUAACUCAUUGGUCACAGGACUGAGGAAGGCCAUACCAAAUAUGAUGCAAAUGUGGGAAAAGGGAAUUUAGUUGUUAGUUCCUGGGACCUGGCAUACGAGAACUUCUCUUGUGAGAUUCAUGAGGGAGGCCUACCGAGGAAGGGAACCAUAGAGCUAGAUGGCCCAUGCUGGGAAGGAAAAUAGCUUGUCACCUGACCACUCUCAGUGCUUCAACAGGAGACAACUUUAAGUUGAGACACUCAGUCAUAUUCUUCCAAUCCUGCUGUGCACCUGGGUUCAAGUGUCAGGUGGUUUUUUUAUUCCUAUUCCUAAAUGGGGGGCUUUUUUUUUUUUUUCAAUGCAAAUACACCCUUGGUGGUCAUCCAGAAUUUCAUCCUUGUCAUAUUUCUCUGAGACUUUUGUAGCCCACUAACUGAGCUCCAAAAUUAGGCCAGAAUGCCAGUACAAAUUCUACAACCAGUUCAAGAUGUUGAAAGCUUCCUAGGAAUGACUUAAAUAAUCACUGCUGAGGCAGUGAGGCACUUUGAAUGAGAAUGAUUAAUGUGUUGAAAAUGUAACAUAGUCUUAUUCUUCAUGCCAGAAUUGUACUUAUCUUCAUUAUGUAUGAUAAUGAAACACCCUUAGUAUGUUGUAUUCUAUUGUAGCUUAACAUAUCCUAAAACUGAGUUCCUGAUUUUUCCAUAUCUCCCACAAAAACCCGUUUGUUCUCCAGUCCUCAUCUAAAUUAAUGGCAAUUCUGCCCUUUCUUCUAGGAUUGGAAACCUUGGAGUCAUCCUUGACUCAUUUCUUUUUCUCAUAUCCCACAUCCAGUCUGCCAGCAAAUUAUGCUUUCUCUCCUUUCAAAAUAUAUCCAGAACCAACCACUCACAGCUAUCAUUUCUCGUCUCCUAAUCCAAGUAAUCAUUACCUCUCACUCUAUUCUUUGAGGAGCUUUUUAACUAAUCUUCAUAAUUCUGCCUUUAUUUCUAAACCAGCCAUUCUCAGUAUGGCAUCCAAUGAGAACAAAUUAAAACAAAAAUCAAAUUGUGUUACUUGUCUGCCCUAAGCUGCUCAAUGGCUUCCCAUUUCACUCUGAAUAAAAGCUAAAGUUCUUUUUAAAGACCUGGAAGCUCCUGCAGAAUAUGUAUACCCGUGAACCUAUUUGCUAACUCUCUGACCUCAUCUCCUACCAAUUUUCUCCUCAUCCACUCUGUUCUAGCUCUGGUAGCUGGCUUGUUGUUUCUCAGACAUGCCAUGUACAUCUUAGGGACUUUGCACUUGAUAUUGCUUCUUUUAUAAGGCUCUUUCCCAGAUACCUGUACUGCUUGUUUCCUUAUCUUCCUCUGGUUUUUAUUCAGAAGUCACUUAAAGUUCACCUUUUCUUUAAGGACGUCCCUAUUUAAGAUUGCAGCUCCUGCAUCCCCUCCCUCACCUCUGCCACCCCACCACCAAACCAAAACCAAAGCAAAACUGUCAGUCUUCUUUUCUGGUCUGUUUUACUCUGCAGAGGUUUCAUCUUCUAAUAUACUGUUUAUUUUACGUAUCUGGCAUAAUUUGUUUUCCUCCACUAGAAAAUGAUCUCACAAGGGUAAAAAUUCUGCCUGUUUUGUUAACAACUUUACUCUUAGUGCCUAUAGCAAUAGUAGCACAUGGUAGACUUUAAAUGAAUACUGUUUAAGGAAAAAAAGUGUAGCCUCCACAUGUUCGGUUUAGUUUUAAGUACUUAAUGGCUAAUUGCCUUUUAGACACGAAUUGUUCUACAGAGCAGUCUGAUGCACCGUAAAAUAUAAAGAUUUCAGAGUUUUUGGUCAGUGAUUUUAAAAUGUGUUGUACGUACUGAAUAUAAAAUCUGUACCUUUCAAUGAACUUAAGAAAGAGCAUUUCCUAAAAAUAUUCUUGAUUUUAGAUUCCCUCUCUCCACAAUAUAGAUUGAUUUAUACCUGUUAAUAAAAGUCUGUGGUGGUGAUGAUAGUAUUUGGCAUGGAGAGGAAAACAGUGAAUCAGGCAUGAAAGUCUUUGAUCACAAGUUGGCAGAGAGGACUUAAGGAAAUGCAGCUUAUCAAGAAAUGUAGAAGUCACUUGAAAAUGGUCAAAGUAACUUGACAGAAUAUCUUGGGAAGCAGUGUUUUGUUGCCAGUGUCCCUGGAGGGCGUUAGGCACACAGAAACCCAGAGAAUGGUACAUCAUCUGUGGAGGGUCUAUCCUGCUGAAAUCUAGCGCAACUUUUACGGAGAGAAACUGGAAACUGCUUGCUAUUCUCAAGUAGCAGAUUGCCAGGACAGGGAUUAUAGUAUUUAAUUGCUAAAGCUGUGACUGGUUAAUUGCCUAGCUGCAAGGGUUGGGAGGCCCAGGUAAGCCAAAUGACUCCAUGAAAUGUUUUUUUUUUUAAUUUCACAGUCUGGGACAGAAUAAAAUAGCUGUGGUUUUAUGUUAGUUGUGUCCCAUAAUAUGCUGGGAAGCACAGGUUUUAGAAAUUUCUUUAUUUUGGCUCCCACUUUUUAUGAGGUAAUAGAACUAAGAAAGUCUUGGCAAAAAGUCAGAUGUGGUAGAGAUGAAAUCAUUAACCUUUAUUCCUACUUUUUCUUGCCGAUUUUCUUUCCGCAAAAUCCAACAGUAAUUUUAUAUACACGUACACGCAUGCCACUAAAAUCUCUUAUGCAGAGCUGUCAUGUCUUGAGUUGUAUAUGGUUUUAUGGUCUUCUGGGCACACUCGUCCCAAAGAGAGAAUUAUAACUCAUUUCUCUUCAAAAGUCAUGUUCUAUUCCUCCUACAAAGGUGUUUUUUAGAUUCACAGAUAAUGUAACUGAGUUUCCGGUAAGGCUGAGGCCGGAAUUGCUUACAGUGGUGAUGACUGGCAUUGUUUUACACACUUUUUUUGUCCUCCUCAUUGAGACUCCAGAAUAAAAUGAAUGAGAGAUUAGAAUCCACUUAACAGCUAAUAAAGCUACCAGGAGUUCCUGUGUGGUACAAAUGGUUAAGCUCUGGACUUCUAACCGAAAGGUUGGCAGUUCAAACCCACCCAGGGUUGUCUGGAAAGACAGAUGUGGCGAUAUGCUUCCAAAAGGUCACAGCUUGAAAACCCUAUGGAGCAGUUCUACUCUGCACACGUGAGGUCACUGUAAGUCAGAAUUGACUUCACAGUAACUAAUAACAAUGCCAAGAAGUAGAACCAUUCCAAUGGACCACCCCAGGAUGUAGAAAAUUGAAAGGGAAGUCAGGAUAUCUGAACUUAACACAUGAUGUUGCGAGCAACUGUAUUAUCUUGGGAAAGUUCCAUCCUUAUCUUUUAAUAUCACCAAUAUAAAAUGAAAAUAAUUAGUUUAGAUAAUCUUCAUUUUCUCUUUGAUCUCUUAUGUUCUAUGAUCCUGGACCAUCCUUACUAGCUUUAGACUUGUCCUCUUUAAAGAUGGAUUCUCCCUUAACUUCUUUUUAUAUGUACUUGCUAAGGAUUCUUAUAUUUCUAUUUUAGAAGAUCCCAUUUAUUUAGUAGGAAGCUUUUUAGCUUUCCUGUCACUGAUGUCCUCAGCUUUUAACACAAAAUCAAAACCAGUUGCCGUCAAGCCAAUUCUGACUCAUAGCGACCCAGUAGGAUAGAGUAGAACUGCCCCAUAGGAUUUCCAGUGUUGUAAUCUAGGGUCUCUAUGAGUUGGAACUGACUUGACGGCACCUAACAACAACAACAAUCUUAACAGAAGCAGACUGCCACAUCUUUCUCCCAUGCAGCGGGCUGGUGGUUUCAAACCUCCAACCUUUUCAUUUUGCAGCUGAGUGCUUAACCAGUGUGCCACCAGGCCUCUUGCUGUUAACACAAAUCCAUGCAACCCUUUUAAUUAAUGCUUUUCAUUUCCACAUAUAGCUCAUAGAACUUACUUGACUCAUUUCUAAAAAAGCAUUGACACUAGGAGACUGACUGCCUGCUUGGUUUCUCCAUUUUAAAACCUGCAGUAAGGGUCUUGCCUGCCAAUGGAAUCUACCAUGUAGGUGUUGUAAACUUUCCACUACUACCUUACUUUAGGGAGUUCUAGCAGUGAUCUGUUAUUCCAUUGCUUGGAGCAAGAUGUUCCUGGAAACCCAGUCUCUGAAUGUUCAGCCAAUUUCUCAAUUUAUUGGCUGAAUAUUUUGAGAUGCUUCAGGAUAUUAUGUGCAAAAUUGAACCUUGAGUGGUCACUGCCCAAGAAUGAAAACUAUUAAAGAUGACUGGAUCAGGAGGUAAAAGACUGGACAAAGAGCUUUGAGAAAAUUAUUUCCAAGUUAAAAGAGGAAACCAGUAAUUAAUGAACAGGCAAAACCUCACACAGGAAUCUUUGAGAGCAGUGUUCCUUUAGAUCUAGUCUAAGCCUGCUUUUAUGGUUGUUCUUUUUCAGUCCCUCUUUUGGGGCGGGGGAGCUUCUCUUCCUCUGCCCAUUCUUCCUUAAUGUUAUACUUCAGGGUUUUAUCCUCAGACCUCUGUUCUUCUUACCUUCUAUAUUCUACCUGGAUGAAAAAAAAAAUUAUACAUCUAUAUCUCCAUCGCACCCCCUAGGAUGACAAUGCCCUAAUCCCUGUUAUCUUACAUAGCAAAAGGAACUUUGCAGAUGUAAUGUUAAGGGUCUUGAAAUAUGGAGAUUAUCCUGAAUUAUCCAGGUGAACUCAGUAAAAUCGCAUAAGUCCUUAAAAGCAGAAGGAGGAGGCAGAAGAGUAGGUCAGGGAGAUAAGAUUGAAGAAGGAGAAGGACAGAUUUGAAGUGUAAGAGGGACCUGAAGUUUUGCCUGUUCGUUACUUGCUGGUUUUAAAGAUGGAGGAAGUAGCUGUCAGCCAAGGAAUAUGGAUGCCCUCUAGAAACUAGGAACGACUCUCAGCUGACAGCCAGCAAGGAAACAGGGUUCUUGGUCCUACAUCCGCAAAGGAAACGGAUCCUUCCCUAGAACGUCCAGAAAGGAACCCAGCCCUGUCAACACCGUGAUUUUAGCACAGAGAUACUCAUCUUGGACUUCCGAAUUACCAAACCAAAACCAAACCCGUUGCCGUUGACUCGAUUCCAACUCAUAGCAACCCUAUACCUACAGAACUAUAAAAUAAUAAUUUAGUGUUGUUUAAGCUGCUUAAUUUGUGAUAAUCUGUUAUGGAAGCAAUAGAAAACUAAUACAACAUGUGUGCUGGGUUGAAUAGUGUCCCCUCAAAACUCAUGUCCACCCAGAACCUCAGAAUGUGACCUUAUUUGGAAAUAGGGACUUCGCAAAUAUAAUCAAUUUAAAAUGAGGUCAUCCUGGAUUAGUGUGGGCCCCAAUCCAAUGACUGAUGUCCUUAUAAGAAGAGGGAAAUUUGGAUACAGAGACACAGAGAGGAGAAUGUCUUAUGAAGACACAGGCACACCAGAGAGAAGGCUGUGUGAAGAUGGAGACAGAAACUGGAGUAAUGCCUCUGUAAGCCAAGUGUCUUAGUUAUCUAGUGCUUAUAUAAUGGAAAUACCACAAAUGGAUGGCUUUAACAAACAGAAAUUAUUCUCUCACAGUUUAGGAGGCUAGAAGUCCAAAUUCAGGACACCAGCUCCUAGGGAAGGCUUUCUGUCUCUGUCAGUUCUAGGGGAAGGUCCUUCUCAUCAGUCUUCCCCUAGGUCUAGGAGCUUCUCAGCUCAGGAAUCCCAGGUCCAAGGACGAGCUUUGCUCCCAGCUCCUCUUUCUUGGUGGUAGGAGGUCCCUCUCUCUCUGCUUGCAUCUCUCUCCUUUUAUCUCUUGUAAGAUAGAAGGUGGUGAUGCAGGCCACACCCCAGGGAAACUCCCCUUACAUUAGAUCAGGGCUGUGACCUGAAUAGCGGUCACAAAAUGGAGGACAACCACACAAUACUGGGAAUCACGGCCUACAUAAGUUAACAGAUAUUUUGGGGAACACAGUUCAAUCCAUGACACCAAGGAAUGCUAACCUUGGCUGGCAACCACCAAAAACUAGGAAGAGGCAAAGAAGUAUUUUUCCUCAGACAAUUCUAAAGGAUCACGGACCUGCGGACACCUUGAUUUCAGACUUCUAGCCUCCAGAACUGUGAGAGAAUACAUUUCUGUUGUUUUUAAGCCAACCAGUUUGUGGUAAUUUUUUACAGCAGCCCUAGGAAACUAAUACAACAUACAUUCCUACUUUUGUUGUCAAAGUCAAAAACUUUAUGUAUGCUGUCAGUAACAAAAUGCUGAGCAAUAGUUGAGGGAAAAGAGCAUGGGCUCUGGAAUUAGACAAAGCUGGGUUUGAAUCUUGCCUCUAUCACAUCCCAGCUUAAUGACCUGAAAAAAUAACCUUUUUGAGCUGAUUUUUUCCCUAGAAAAUGGUUGUAAUACUAACUAACUCAGAGAGUUUGUGUGUAUAUUAAACAAAACAAUACAUGUAAAAUGCCUGACAUAUGGUAGAAACUCAGUAAAUGGUAGGCAUUAAUAUAACAAAAAGUAGAGCCAAUGUUGAUAUAUUUUAGGUAUCAAAGGAAGCAUCAUAUUCAAAUAUGACACCAGAAGCCAUACCACAAAGAAAUAACUAGAUAAAUUAGACUUCAUUAACAUUUAAAACUUUUGUGCUUCAAAAGACACUAUCAAGAAAUUGAAAAGACAGGCUAUGGAAUGGAAGAUAAUAUUUGCAAAUCUUAUAUCUGAUAGGGGACAGGUGACUAGAAUUUAUAAAAAAAAAAAACUUCUACAACUCAAUAAAAAGAUAUAACCCAGUUUAAAAAUGGACAAAGGAUUUGAAUAGACAUUUUUCCAGAGAAGGUGUACAAAUGUCAAUAAGCACAUGAAAAGAUGCUCAGCAUAAUUAGUCAUUACAAAAAUGCAAAUCAAAACCAUGAGGUACAUUUCACAACCACUAGGAUGGUGUAUUAGUUUCCUUGCGCUGCUAUAGCACAAGCCACUUCUUUGAACUUAAAAAAAAUAUAUAUGUAUAUAUAACUGGUUAUGUUUCGCUAGAGAACCCUGACUAAGACAGAUUACUGUAAUAAAAAGACAAAGCAAGUAUUGGUGAGAAGGUAGAGAAAUUGGAACCUGAUACACUGCUGGUGGGAGUAGAAAAUGAUGCAGCCACUUUGGAAAACAAUUUGGCCAUUCUUCAAAAAGUUAAAUGUGAUGUUACCAUAUAACCCAGCAGUCCUACUUUUAAGAAUAUACAAAGAGACAUAAAAACAUACGUCUACACAAAAACUUGUACAUGAAUGUCCAUAGUAGCAUUAUUUGUAAUAGCAAAAACAUGGAAACAAACUAAAAGCCCAUCAACUGAUGGAUAUAUAAAAUGUAAUUCAAACAGAACAAAGGGAUAUUAUUUAGCCAUAAACAGGAAUGAAAUACUGAUCAUGCUACAUAUGGAUAAACCUUGAAAACGUUGUGCUGGGUGACAGAAGCCAAACAUAAAAGGCCAUGUAUUGUGUGACUCCAUUUAUCUGAAAUACCUAGAAUAGGCAAAUCCUUGGAGACAGAAAGUAGAUUAGUGGGCAUCAGGGCCCAGGGUGAAGAGAGGAAUGGGGAAUGACUGCUUAAUGGGUACAAGGUUUCCUUUUGAAGCAAUGAAAAAUUCUUGAAUUAGAUAAUGUUGAUGGCUGCACAACAUUAUGAAUAUACUAAAAACCACUGAAUUAUAUACUUUUAAGGGGUGAAUUUUGUUAUGUGAAUUAUAUCUCAGUUUUAAAAAUUAAAGAACCCGCAGUGGUCUCUAUUCUUUCAGAAAUCUCUAUCUUUUAAGUCUUAGACUAUCUCUUAUGUAAUACAUAGUUAUGUAACUAUGGGGUGGAGCUAAUAUUUAAGCUUGUUAUUAAAAAAAAACCCAAAGAUGUGCUAACAAGCCAAAUGUGUAACAAAUCAAGAAAUGUUAAGGAGUAGCCAAGCCAAAUCUUUUUUUUUUUUCAUUCUGAAUUAGUAUCAAUGAAUGAAAGAAUUUGGGAAGUCUUAGUAUAGGUGAGGUUACUAAAGAGAUUAGAAUAAAGGUAAAUAAAUAUUUUGUGGGAUGUAGGGAAAUAAUCAGUCAUGGAAUUUAACUUGAAGAGUACUGGAUAGUAUUUGAAGGAUCUGAUUAGGGGGUGAACUAGAAAGGAAAAAAAAAAACAUAAGGAUGCAUGUUCGGCAUAAUUUUCAGUAACUCCGCAUUUUAAUGAGUGGCAUAUAACCAAAAAUUCAUUUGAAGAGAACGUUUCAGAGGAGGUUAGAAGUAUUUGCCAUUAAUUUGGCACCAAAUGGUGGAAGAUAAAUCUCCCAGAGUAGGCAAAUCAUUCUCUCCUCCUUCUAAGUUUCUUUCCCCCACGUAUCUACUUCUUUCCUGUCUCUCUUUCCUCCUAUAAAAAUCAUUAGGUGGCCAUUUAGAGCCAACCAUUGAAAUAGAUAAAGAUAGCAGAAAAACUUCAGGACAGUUUUCUGUAGGUAUAGAACAUUCCAAAGAAAGAUGAUCAAACAGAAUGGAAAAAUUAUUGAAUAAUAUCAUUAAUAUCACAUGCUAGCAAAAUUUUGCUGGAGAUAAUUUUGAAAAGGCUGCAGCCAUACAUCGACAGGGAACUGCCAGAAGUUCAAAAUGGAUUCAGAAGAGGAUGUGGAAUGAGGGAUAUCAUUGCUGAUAUCAAAUGGAUCCUGGCUGAAAGCAGAGAAUACCAGAAAGAUGUUUACCUGUAUUUUAUCAACUACACAAAGAGAUUCGACUGUGUGGAUCAUAAAAAAUUAUGAGAACACUUAAUUGUGUUCAUGUGGAACAUGUGUAUGAAUCAAUAGGUAGUCCUUCAGAUAGAACAGGGGAUACUACAUGGUUUAAAAUUGGAAAGGGUGUGUGGCGGGGUGUAUUCUUUCACCUUACUCAUUCAGUCUAUAUGCUGAACAAAUAAUUUGAGAAGCUGGGCUAUAUGAAGAAGAACGUGGCAUCAGGAUUGGAUAGAAGACUCAUUAACAACCUGAGAUGUGCAGAUGACACAACCUUGCCUGCCAAAAGCAAAGACCACUUGAAGCACUUACUGAUGAUGGUAAAAGACUACUGCCUUCCGUAUGGAUUAUAUCUGAACAAAGAAAAUGAAAAUUCUUACAACUGGAUCAGUAAACAUUAUGAUAAAUGGUGAACAAAUUGAGGUUGUCAAAGAUUUCAUUCCUCUUGGAUCAGUAAUCUGUGUCCAUGGAAGCAGAAGUCAAGACAUCAAAUGAAGUAUUGCAUUGUAUGUAGUAUAUUCAUAUAAUGGAAUAUUAUUCAGCCAUAAAAAGGAAUGAAAUUUUGCAGCUGGAAAAAUCUGCUGCAAAAAACCUCUUUAAAGUGUUAAAAAAAAAAAAAAAACAACUAAGGUGCCUCUGACCCAAACCAUGAUCUUUUCCAUUGCCUCAUAUGCAUUCAAAAGCUACCCCCCCCAAAAAAAACUAGAUAAUAAAAAAUGAGGACCAAAGAAGAAUUGAUGCAUUCAAAUUGUGGUAUUGGCAAAGAAUAUGGAAUAUACCAUGGACUGCGAGAAGGUUCCAUUCUGACUCAUAGCGACCCUAAAGGACAAAGUAGAACUGCCCCGUAGAGUUUCCAAAGAGUGCCUGGUAGAUUCGAACUGCUGACCUUUUGGUUAGCAGCUGUGGCACUAAACCACUACGCCACCAGGGUUUCCAGAUGCCUGAUAGGUAUUUUUUAAAAAAUGAUAGUUGUGCCAGGCACUGUUCUAAGCACUUUCUAUGUAUAAACCCAAUUAACCCUCAAAGCACUUAUGUGAGUAGAUACAGAUGCCCUCUCAAUAGUAGAAGUGAAUCAGCUAGGAAGGUUGUUUUACUUUAGUUUAAUGUGUUCCUUCUUAUCCAUUCCACAGCCAUUCCAUUACUUGUUUAUUCUAUAAUCGUCCCUCUUCUAGCUUUUUCCAGUCUCUUGGUUUAGGCUUUCAAUGUAUCUACAGAGAAUGGGAGUUGAUUUUGAAAGUUAAUAAUGCUAUAAAAUGUGAGAACCUAGGGCUGAGGUAUCUAAAGAGAUGAGCAUGAAGAGGAAGGAGUGUUUGGACUGAUAGUUCUGGUUGGGCAUACAGUCCCUUCAGAGCAGCUUGGACUUCUUCAGUACCAUCGGUUCCUGAUCAUAUGCCACCUCUUGAAAUGGUUGAAUAUCGACUAAUUCUUUUUGGUAUAAUGACUCUGUGUAUUCCUUCCAUCUUCUUUUGAUGCUUCCUCUAUCGUUUAAUAUUUUCCCCUUAGAGUCCAUCACUAUUGCAACUCCAGGUUUGAAUUUUUUCUUCAGUUCUUUCAGCUUGAGAAAUGCCAAGCAUGUUCUUCCCUUUUGGUUUUCCAUCUCCAGCUCUUUGUACAUGUCAUAAUACUUUACUUUGUCUUCUCAAGCCACCCUUUGAAAUCUUCUUUUCAGUUAUUUUACUUCAUCAAUUUUUCCUUUUGCUUUAGCUGCUCAGCAUUCAAGAGCAAGUUUCAGAGUCUUCUCUGACAUCCACCUUGGUCUUUUCUUUCUUUCCUGUCUUUUCAGUGACCUCUUGCUUUCUUCAUGGAUGACGUCCUUGAUGUCAUUCCACAACUCUUCUGGUCUUCGGUCACUAGCGUUCAAUGUGUCAAAUCUAUUCUUGAGAUGGUCUCUAAAUUCAGGUGGGAUAUACUCAAGGUCAUAUUUUGGCUCUCGUGGACUUGCUCUGAUUUUCUUCAGUUUCAGCUUGAACUUGCAUUUGAGCAAUUGAUGGUCUGUUCCACAGUCAGCCCCUGGCCAUCUCCUGACUGAUGAUAUUGAGCUUUUCCAUCAUCUCUUUCCACAGAUGUAGUCAAUUUGAUUUCUGUGUGUUCCGUCUGGCAAGGUCCAUGUGUAUCAUUGCCGUUUAUGUUGGUGAAAGAAGGUUUUUGCAAUGAAGAAGUUGUUGGUCUUGCAAAAUUCUGUCAUUCCAUCUCCAGCAUUGUUUCUAUCACCAACGCCAUAUUUUCCAACUACCGAUCCUUCUUUUUUGUUUCCAACUUUCGCAUUCCAAUCACCAGUAAUUAUCAAUGCAUCUUGAUUGCAUGUUCGAUCAAUUUCAGACUGCAGCAGCUGAUAAAAAUCUUCUAUUUCUUCAUCUUUGGCCCUAGUGGUUGGUGCAUAAAUUUGAGUAAUAGUCGUAUUAACUGGUCUUCCUUGUAGGCGUAUGGAUAUUGUCCUAUCACGGACUGCGUUGUACUUCAGGAUAGAUCUUGAAACGUUCUUUUUGACGAUGAAUGCAACACCAUUCCUCUUCAAGUUGUCAUUCCCAGCAUAGUGGACUAUAUGAUUGUCCAAUUCAAAAUGACCAAUACCAGUCCAUUUCAGCUCACUAAUGCCUAGGAUAUCAAUGUUUAUGCGUUCCAUUUCGUAUUUGAUGAUUUCCAAUUUUCCUAGACUCAUACUUUGUACAUUCCAGGUUCAGAUUAUUAAUGGAUGUUUGCAGCAGUUUCUUCUCAUUUUGAGUCAUGCCACAUCACCAAAUGAAGGUCUCGAAAGCUUUACUCCAUCCAUGUCAUUAAGGUCAACUCUACUUUGAGGAGGCAGCUCUUCCCCAGUCAUCUUUUGAGUGCCUUCCAACCUGCGGAGCUUAUCGUCCAACACUAUAUCAGACAAUAUUACGCUGCUAUUCAUAAGGUUUUCACCAGCUAAUGCUUUUCAGUAGUAGACUGCUGGGUCCUUCUUCCUAGUCUGUCUUAGUCUGGAAGCUCAGCUAAAACCUGUCCUCCAUGGGUGACCCUGCUGGUAUCUGAAUACCGGUGUCAUAGCUUCCAGCAUCACAGCAACAUGCAGGCCCCCAAAGUACAACAAACUGGCAGACACGUGGGGCACUUUUUAUAUUAUUACUUAUUAAUAUUAUUAAUAGUUUUGUAUUUAUUACUUUUUGUAUUAUUCCUCUAGAGUAAAUGGUAAUAUAAAUCCACUGAGCUUUUAUUGACAAGGCACUGUGCUAAACAUUGGGUAGAAGAGGUGUAUAAGAACUGGUCCUUGUCCUUGGUUUAUAGACUAGUAGGUACAGAGUAUACAGUGUCAAGUUCAUAAAUUGCUGAGGCAAAGAAUGCCUACUUAAUGAUGGCCUGAAAGAAAGUCUUUGCUUUUAUGGAGCUUUCUACAGUCUAGCAGCAAAGGCAGAUAUUGAAUAAGAAUUUUGAGUAAGGUGAGUUGGAUAGUGAGGGAUUGAACCUACUGACAGAUAUUAGUGACAUUUAUGAAUCCCAGUUAGCUGGGAGGGAUGUUCCCAUGAUAGAACAUGGGAAGCCCCAUGAUAAGUGCCUUCGAAGGACCCCAUAGCAGGAGAGUAUGUGAGGCAUGAGUGGCCAGAUGACAGAGGACCAUAUAGACCAAGUUAGGAUUUGGAUUAUAUCAAAAAUAAUGGGAAGCCAUUGCACCUUUUAGGAAAGGGAUGUGAUGAAACUUGAGUUUUUAAAUGGCUUUUCUGACUGUAGUGUGGAGGAGGAGUUGGAGAAGAGCUAUCACAGACUUAGGAAAAUUCCUUAGUCUAUUAUAUGAGGUAAAUUAAAUAUGAUUUCGUGUAUUAUUAUGCUCCGAAAUUUUAGGAAACUAAUCCCUACUUGAAUCAGCUCUUCAGAUUAAGUCAUGCCUGUUAGAACAAUGAACACUAGAUGAUUAGAUUCAAGUUAUACCAAGAAAAAGCCAGUGAAAUAAAACGGAUAUAAUUCUAGGGCUCGCAAGUUCUGUUUGUACUUAUAUAGUACAUGGUUGGGGACUCCUGGCUUGUUCUCCUGUUCCGGCCAAAGCACUUCAAGUGCAACAACCAUCCAUCUGUCAGUGUAGGCUUGCAUGUUGCUGUGAUGCUUUACAGACUUCAGCAGAACUUCUAGACUAAAACAUACUAGGAAGAAAGGCCUGGUGAUCUACUUCCGAAAAAUCAGCCAGUGAGAACCCUGUGGAUCACAGCAGUCCGAUCCCAUUGUCCUGGGGCUGCCAUGAGCAGGGGCAGCUAACAGCAGCUUACUGACAAGUCAGAGGUAGGUAGAAGGGACAGGCAGACAUCAGCUAAUGCCAAAAUCUGGGGUUUUGUUUCUAAUUGUACUACUUGAAAAAAUAGGAAGUCUGACAAGUAAGAUUCUUAGGUUCCAGUGAGGUUGAAACUUGUUAUCACGUACUGUAUUUUCAUGAGAAAUUUAUUGGGAGGGCUGUUUUAGCUGCUGUUGAGUCAGCCCUGACUUAUGGUGCCCCAUGCACAAUGGGAUUGGACUGUUGUGAUCCAUGGGGUUUUCGUUGGAUGAUUUUUCUAAAGUAGAUCACCAGGCCUUUCUUCCUAGUAUGUCUUAGUCUGGAAACUCCUCUAAAGCCAGCAAUAUGCGAGCCUCCACUGACAGAUGAGCGGUGGCUAUGCUUGAGGUGCAUUGGCUGGAAUUAAACCUGGAUCUCCUGCGUGGAAGUCAAGAAUUCUACUACUGAAUCACCACUGCCUUCAGUGGGAGGGUAAAGACAAACCUGGCAUUGUUGAUGUUCCUCAUCAUUACCUGAGAAGUCCUCACUAUAAAAAUACAGGAGCCAGAUGGCCAUAUUUUAGAAUGCUAUAUGAAGAAUUCCUCACUGGAAGUGGAAGAAUUGCUUGGAUGACUUUGAGGAAUCUCCCACUCACGCACAUUCAGUGGUCGUUUUGUUGCUUGUACUGCAGAUUAUAUAUUUCUCCCUAAAAUGGAAUCAUAUGAACAUUUAUAAAGACAUAGGUCUUGCAGAGUGUUUAGCUGUUUUAAUCUGAGAUUGUGAUUUUCUUAGAAAGAUUGGCCUCAGUCCUUUUUGAAAUCGUUUACUUACAAUAUUAAAUUAUUUCUGGUAUUUAGUUUAUAAUUUACAUGGAUUACUUAAAUUUACAUCUUUGUGAAGUUAAAUCUUUUGAUUCCCAUUUUACAGUCAAACUAAAAGAAAACCAAAGAGAAUAAGCAACUUGUUUAACAUAAUUUAGCUGAUAAUUGAAGAGCCUCAAUUACAUACUGGCUGCUUGAACUUCUCAAGUGACUAACCUCUUAUGUUUCAGUUUCCUCUUCUGACAAAAGUGUGUUAUUAUACUUUACCUCAAAUAGUUCUUGUGAGGAUUGAAUGUAUCAGUGUAUGUCAAAGCCUCUAGUGCAGUGUCUGGUAAAUAGCAAACACACAUUAACUGUAUAUUCUCUCCCUCUUCCCCAGGUACAUCUUGUGCCUUUCUGACUUCAUGUCUCUGCUGCUUCUGCUCCCUUUGCCACUACUUUCAAUCUGUUGAAAAGGCACCUGUUCAGUUUAGACUAAGGAAAUAAUCACAUAGCUGCACAAAAGGGUAUAUACAAAGACAUUUGUCACAGUAUUGUUUAUAAUGACAAAAUAUUGGAACAAUCUAAAUAUCUAAAAUAGGGCACUGAUUAGAUAAAUUAUGGUUCAUAUGUCAUAGAAUUGUAACGAGGAUCAAGUGAGGUAACAGUUAUAAAUAUUUAUAAAGUGAGUUAAUAGUUAUAUUUAUAAAGUGCAUAGUAAGCAUUAUGUACUUUUUAAAAAUGGUAUAUUCAUACUAUACCUGUUAAAGUGAUAAUAUAAAUCUACAUUUAUUUACAAUAUAUUGUUAAGACAGAAAAUAGGUCAUAAUACAUUAUUUUUAAGAUAUCAAUAAAUAAAGAUCAGGAAUGAUAUAUAUUAAAAUUUAUUUAAUUUUUUUAAAAGUAUACAGCAAGAAAUACAGAAUGAUUUUUCAAACACCUUACUUCCCUGACACUAACUCAGAAUUUGGUUAUGCAUGACCUUAAGAGAUUUAUUGAACGCUGAGCAUUUUCAAGGAUCUACUCUUUGCCCUCAGAUUGUCGUGAUCCAUGUGGGCUAGGCUAUCAAAGUAGAUUCUUAUGGACAUCAUUUUUAUUCUAAGAGUGAGAUUCUAGAGCUCAGAAUUCUUUCUUAGAAAUUAAGAAGCUUUUGGGGGCUAAGGGACAAGUGGCAACUUGCUUAACUUACCUGCUAUUUUCAUCAUUACUAGCAAAAACGUUUUUGACUCUGAGCAUGCAGAUAUUUGUAGCAACCCUUUUAAAAUGCUGCUGGAUUCAAUUUAUUAUUACUUUUUUAAGGAAUGAAUGUAGACUCUCUUUUUGUUGGCAUUUCAAAUAGAUCAAACACUCUAAGAAGAUUUUAUGUUCCACUAAGAUCUCUCAUCCAAAAGAUACAGAUUUGAACUAUAAAACUGGUUCUAAGAGUCCAAAAGCCCAAACCCGAACCCAUUUCCAUCAAGUCAAUUCUUACUCACAGUGACCCUACAGGACAGAGUAGAAUGGCCUUAGAGGUUUCCCAAGACUGUAAGUCUUUAUGGAAGCAGAUUUCACCACAUCUUUCUCCCAUGGAGUGGCUGGUGGGUUUGAACCACAGAUUACAAAGUUCAUUAAAGGGAAAGCUGUCAGAUACCUCUUUUUUAUGAAAAUGCUAUUUGAGAAAAUAUUUCCAGUUAUAUCUCGUAGAGCUGUUAUGAGGAUUAAAUGAGUUACUACAUGUAAAGCACUAACAUGUACUAAAAAACAUGUACUAGCAUAUAAUAAGUACUACGUUUCUUAUUGUCAUUUUUAUGUUUUUUUUUUUAGCCAUGCAAUACUUAAGUGGAGCAGAAGUUAUAGUAAAAUAGUUAUCACCCUAUAACUACUGGGAGAAAUGACAUUUUCCCCCAAUGAUUUUGACAUAAUAUCAAUAAGAAGUUUGAUGGUUAAAAAAAAAAUUGGGAUAAAACUAAUCUCCUCGCUGUAGUUCUACACUUCCCACAGUUGUCUUGUAUGAAUAUUUAUUCACUACAUGGACAAAUGGAUGAGGAUAUCCUUAAACAUAGAGAGAGGUUUCUAUUCUAUAUAUCUCUUACCUCACUCUCUGUCUAUAUCUGUUGGUUGUUGUCAUUGUUGUUAGGUGUCGUCGAGUCAGUUCCAACUCAUAGUGACCCUAUGCACAACAAAACAAAACACGGCCCAGUCCUGUGCCAUCUUCACAGUUGUUGCUAUGCUUGAGCCCAUUGUUGUAAUCCGUCUCAUUGCGGGUCUCUCUCUUUUUCACUGACCCUCUACUUUACCAAGCAUGAUGUCCUUCUCCAGGGACUGAUCCCUCCUGAUAACAUUUCCAAAGUAUGUGAGACAUAGUCUCGCCAUUCUUGCUUCCAAGGAGAAUUCUGGUUGUACUUCUUCUAAGACAGAUUUGUUGCUUCUUUUGGCAGUCCAUAGUAUAUUCAUAGUAUAUUCACCAACACCAUAAUUCAGAGGCUUCCGUUCUUCUUCUGUCUUCCGUAUUCGUUGUCCAGCUUUCGCAUGCAUAUGAGGCAAUUGAAAACACCAUGGCUUGAAUCAGGCACACCUUAGUCCUUAAGGUGACGUCUUUGCUCUUCAACACUUCAAAGAGGUCUUUUGCAGCAGGUUUGCCCAGUGCAUUGCAUCUUUUGAUUUCAUGACCAUUGCUUCCAUGGGUAUUGAUCGUGGAUCCAAGUAAAAUAAAAUCCUUGACAACCUCAGUCUUUUCUCCAUUCAUCAUGAUGUUACUUAUUGGUCCAGUUGUGAGGAUUUUGGUUUUCUUUAUGUUGAGGUGUAAUCCAUACUGAAGGCUGUGGUUCUUGAUCUUCAUCCGUAAGUGCUUCAAGUCCUCUUCACUUUCAGCAAGCAAGGUUUUGUCAUCUGCAUAAUGCAGGUUGUUAAUGAGCCUUCCUCUGAUCCUGAUGCCCCGUUCUUCUUCAUAUAGUCCAGCUUCUCGGAUUAUUUGUUCAGCAUACAGAUUGAAUAGGUAUGGUGAAAGGAUACAACCCUGAUGCACAGCUUUCCCAACUUUAAACCGUGCAGUAUCCCCUUGUUCUGUCCGAACAACUGCCUCUUGAUCCAUGUCCAGAUUCCUCAUGAGCACAAUUAAGUGUUCCGGAAUUCCCAUUCUCCGCAAUGUUAUCCAUAAUUUUUUAUGAUCCACAUAGUCAAAUUCCUUAGCACAGGUAAAAAUUUUUCUGGUAUUCUCUCCUUUCAGCCAGGAUCCAUCUGACAUCAGCAGUGAUAUCCCUGGUUCCAUGUCCUCUUCUAAAUCUGGCUGGAAUUUCUGGCAGUUCCCUGUCGAUGUAUUAUUGCAGCCAUUUUUGAAUGCUCUUCAGCAAAAUUUUGCUCACAUAUGAUAUUAAUGAUACUGUUUGAUAAUUUCCUUAUUUAUACUUAUUUGUAUUUGUUGGAAGAGAAUACUCCAAACCUUGUAAUUAGCUGUUCUGUAUUUUUCAAGGCCAGUGGCUGAUUUUCUGAAGAUGUGGCUCCUUUCCUUUAAGUUCUCUUAAAUAGUUAUGUGUUGGUUUGUUCAACUUCAUGGAAGUAGGUAAGAAAAAUAAAAAAAGGUCUGGGUAGGAUUGGUGAGUUGAGACAAGGGGCUGGUAUUUCACAAGCCAUCUUUACCUAAUUUUUACUGAUUUCUAAAGAGCAGAGAAGGCUUUUAUCCUGUUUUGAAAACAAUGAAAUAUGAACUGGAAUUAAAUGAGAGGAUAGGAUAAAGACAACCCUCUGUAAUUGUAGUAAAAAGUAGUUACAUGAAGAUCAUAUGACAGCAUAACCAAUUUUCCCGUUUCAAAGGAAGACAAGUAUUUUGUCCCCAGUAUUACAGGGCUCUGAAGAUUGGCAGUUUGAUAACACCUAAAGAAGAAUCCCAGAAUUAUUCUUACCUACUCUCACAAGCCUUUUCACACAAUACAUUUCUACAUUUUUCAUCUUCACCUGGCUAGAGAAACAAUCUUGGAACCCCAAUUUGGGAGUUUGACCAGAAUUCUCACCCCUGAUUUAGUAUGGCUACUCUUAGAACAAGGAGCCCUGGCAGUGCAGUGGCUAAGUGCUUAGCUACUAACUGAAAGGCCAGUGGUUCAAACCCAGCAGCCACUCCAUGGGAGAAAGAUGUGGUGUAGUCUGCUUCUGUAAAGGUUUACAGCCUUGGAAACCCUAUAAGGCUGCUCUACUCUGUUGUAUAGGGUCACUCACAGUUACUUGAUGGCAGUGAGUUUGGGUUUGGGUUUCUGGACUCUUAGAACCAGUUUUAUAGUUCAAAUCCAUAUCUUUUGGAUGAGAGAUCUUAGUGGAAUGUAAAAUCUUCUUAGAGUGUUUGACCUAUUUGAAAUGCCAACAAAAAGAGUCUAAAUUCAUUCCUUAAGAAAGUAAUAAUAAAUUGAAUCCAGCAGCAUUUUAAAAAGGUUCAAAAAUGUUUUCACUAGUGAUGUCAAUGAAAAUGGCAGAGUACAUAGCUCCAAGGGCCUGUCUUUUUGCAGAAACACACGCACAUACACAAAAGCAAAAACAGUCAGAAUCAACUUUGUCAGAACUCUGGAAAAUAGUCAAAAGUUUACAGUAACCAAGCAAAUGCUGAAUCAAGAAAAAAGCAAUUUCAAAAUGGUGGGAAAGCUUUGCAGUGUUCUCACUUGCUUUUCCCCCACUCUGGUCCCCAUCUUGGUGGUUGUCUUGAAGAUAGUAGCCUUUGUUCCCAGUAUGGGACCCUGGUCCAUAGUUCUAGAGGGGGAGUACAGCAUACCUUAUUCUCAACAAAUUGUCUUUGUCUAUUCUAACAUACCUGGGGGUUACCCAAAAGACUGAUGCAAGGCACUUGCCUUUAUUUCACCUAAAUGGAAACAUAGGGCAGAAAAACAGUGGGCACUCCUCAAAAACAAUGUAAGGUAAAUGAACAACCUGCUGCCGCCAGGUGCAAAAGGAUUGUGACAAACAAUAGGCACACCAGAAGCCUGAGAGGAAAAGCUGGGAGAGAGUUCCUUUGGGAAAUUAGGACAUUCAAAAGUGCCUGUGUAUACUGGGAGAUUUAGAAAGCCAUGUUAAUGCCCAGAGAAAGAUGUGUGCUCAAAAAACAGAAGAUCCUAAACUUUUAGCUCGGACAGAUCUUUAUGCUCAGCACAGGGAGGAAAUGAAGGCUAAGGGAGAGGUGUAAAGACUAGGAGAGUUUUUUUUUUUUUUCCUUUUUCUUUUUCCUCCCUCCUUUCCUUUUUCCCUCUCUCCUUCCCUUUUCUUUCCCUUCUUUCCUUGUCUCUUUCUUUCUUACCUUCUUUCUUUUACCUCCUGAUGUUCAAGAAAAUUCUUGUCAAAACACUAGCUCAGCACAAGCUAAAGGAAUAGGAAAUCCCUAUACAAAUGACAAAGAAUACAUACUUUUCAGAAAUAGUUUAGAUAUAGAAUAGCUAAAACACACAGCCAACAACAAAAACAAACUCCGAGGAAGAGGAUAAAUCUGAUUCCCAGAGGUACUACAUUAUAAUAUUUAAAUAUCCAGUUUUUAAUAUAUAUAUAUAUAUAUAAUUCCACGAAACAAGAAAGUAUGGCCCGUUCUCAAAAGAAAUUAACAAAAACUGUCCCAGAGGAAACACAGAUAAGUGACUUACUAGAUAAAUACUUUAAAUCAACUGUCUUAAAUACCUUCAGAGAGCUAAAGGAAACCAUGGACCAAUAGCUAAAGGAAAUCAGGAGAAUGAUGUAUGAAAAAAUUAAGAAUCUCAAUAAAGAGAUAAAAAUUUAGAAAAGUAACCAAAGUCUGGAGCUGAAAAGUACAAUAACCAAAAGGAAAAAUUCACUAGAGGGGUUCAACAGCAGAUUUGAGCAGGCAGAAGAAAGGAUCAGUGAACUUGAAGAUUGGUCAAUUGAAAUUAUCCAGUCAGAGGAGCAGAAAGAAAAAAGAAUGAAAAAAAAAAAAAAAAGAGCAGAGCCUUAGAGACCUGUGAGACGGAAGUAUAACACCAUAUGUAUAAUGGGAGUGACAAAAGGAGAGGAACUAGAGAAAGGGACAGAAAGAAUAUCUGGACAUAUAAUGGCCAUAAACUUGCUGAAUUUUAUGAAAUACAUGAAUCUGCACGUUUAAAAAACUCAACAAACUUCAAUUAGAAUACAUUUAAAAAGAUCCACACUGAGACACGUUAUACUCAAAUUGUCAAAAGACAAAGAAAAAAAAAUCUUUUAAUCAAGAGAGAAGUAACUUAUCACAUACAAAGGAUCCUCAAUAAGAUUAACAGCUGAUUUCUCAUCAGAAACCAUGGAGACCAGAAGGCAAUGAAAUGACAUAUUUAAAUAGCUGAAAGAAAAAUACUGUCAACCGAGAAUUAUCUAUGCAGCAAAAUUAUUCUUCAGAAUCAAGGAGAAAUUUAGAUAUUCUCAGAUUAGUAAAAGCUGAGGAAGUUUGUCACUAGUAGUCUUGCCCUUUAAGAAAUACAAAGGGAAUCCUUUGGGCCAAAAUAAAAGGACACUAGGCAGUACCUUGAAGCCAUGUGAAGAAAAAAGGAACAGUGAUAAAGGUAAUCACAUAGUAAAUAUAAAAACCAGUAUUGUAUUUUUUUUUUGUUUGUAGCUCCUCUUUUUGUUUUCUAUAUGACUUAAAAGACAGAUAUAUAAAACAAUCAUUGUAAACCAUGUUAAUGGUUGCCCAGUGAAUAAAGAUGUAAUUUUGACAAAAACAUUAAAAAGGGAGAAGACAGAGCUGUACAGGAGCAGAAUUUCUUUUGUUUUUUUUGAGAUUUGUCUAUGCUUUCUUUGUAGUUUUGGUUAUUCAUUUUCAUUGCCGUUUGGUAUCUCAUUAUAAAAAUGUAUCGCAAUUUGUCUGUUCUACCAUUGAUGGACAUUUGGCUGUUUUUAAUAAAGCUGCUAUAUAUUCAUUCUUGUGCACUCUUGACACAUAUGUGCACACAUUUCUGGUACACACACAGAAAAAUACACACACACCAGUAAACCAGUUGCCAUUGUGUCGAUUCUGACUCAUGGAGACCCUGUGGGUGCCAGAGUAGAACUGUGAGAAGCAGAGUUUUUGCAUGCUAUUGAAGUUGACGUCAAUUCAGACUAGAUAGUUAUAAAUUUAGGAUGCUAAUGGUAAACCUGUAGUAACAACAGUAUCUAAAAAUUAUAUAGAUAAUGAUAUGAGAAGACAAUCAAAACAGCAUACUACAAAGAAGUCAACUAAACAUAAAAGAAGACAGUAAUGGAGAAAUGAGGAACAAAAAGCGUAAAGACGUACAGAAAACAAAUAGUUAAAUGAAAGAAGUAAAUCCUUAUCAGUACUUACUUUAAAUGUAAAUGAAUUAAACUCUUCAAUCAAAAAGUAAAGUUUGGCAGAAUGAAUAAAAAAGCCUAAUAUACUGUCUACAAGAGACUCACCUUAGAUCCAAAGACACAAAAGGGUUGGAAAGAAAAAAAAAAACAUUCCAUGCAAAUAGUAACCUAAAGUGAGCUAGAGUGGCUGUACUAAUAGACAAAAUAGG